rnacentral:rRNA from 1 species
AUUGAACGCUGGCGGCAUGCCUUACACAUGCAAGUCGAACGGUAACAGGUUAAGCUGACGAGUGGCGAACGGGUGAGUAAUGUAUCGGAACGUGCCCAGUCGUGGGGGAUAACGUAGCGAAAGCUACGCUAAUACCGCAUACGAUCUACGGAUGAAAGCGGGGGAUCGCAAGACCUCGCGCGAUUGGAGCGGCUGAUAUCAGAUUAGGUAGUUGGUGGGGUAAAGGCUCACCAAGCCGACGAUCUGUAGCUGGUCUGAGAGGACGACCAGCCCCACUGGAUCUGGGACACGGCCCAGACUCCUACGGGCGGCAGCAGUGGGGAAUUUUGGACAAUGGGCGCAAGCCUGAUUCAGCCAUACCGCGUGCAGGAUGAAGGCCCUCGGGUUGUAAACUGCUUUUGUACAGAACGAAAAGGUUUCUACUAAUACUAGGAGCUCAUGACGGUACUGUAAGAAUAAGCACCGGCUAACUACGUGCCAGCCGCCGCCGUAA